GAUCAUGGCUCAGGACGAACGCUGGCGGCGUGCUUAACACAUGCAAGUCGAACGAGAAUCUAUGGAACAAGGAUUCGUCCAAGUGAAAUAGAGGACAGUGGCGGACGGGUGAGUAACGCGUGAGGAACCUGCCUUUCAGAGGGGGACAACAGUUGGAAACGACUGCUAAUACCGCAUGACAUAUAGAUGUCGCAUGGCAUUUAUAUCAAAGAUUUAUCGCUGAAAGAUGG
rnacentral:rRNA from 1 species